rnacentral:misc_RNA from 1 species
UGCAUAGAAUGAGGAAGGCGGAAGUAUCUUUAUGGAUGGAAAGUAAAGUUAAUUUUCUCCAUAAUUCAUCGACAAAUUUUGUGCAAAACUCACGGGAUCUUAAGCUGUAAAUAUUCUUGUCCAUUUAAGAUAGGAAGUUUGCCAGAAACAUAACAAGGAAAUGAUGUGUUAAAAUUCAGCAACAAGACCUGAUGACAGACCAAUAGUGAACAACUCAUUUUGCAACUCAGUAGAAUUACAACAGAUGUCGGCAUCAUACAAACAUCUUGAGAUGUCUUCAUAGCUGUAGAAAUGAAAGAGACUCUCCAUGUACUUGUGAAAUACCCAAUGACCUAUUCACAUGAACCGAAGGAAAAUUUCAUUGGUUGACUGUUGGAAUUUCUGAAGUACCUGUUUUCACUUAAACAGGGGGAUAUCUCUACAUUUUAAGAUGGCAGCCAAGAAGCAGACAACUUCAAUCCAGGACUGGCUAGAGUCAUUAGAUUUGGGCCAUUUCACCAACAACUUCCUCCAUAACGGUCUAACAGAGCUCCAACAUGUGUGUCAUCUCACUGAAGAUCAACUCAGCUUGUUGGGCAUAACACAGCGAGGUUACCAGAAAAGAGUUCUGAACCAUUUACCCACAGAGGCAGAAGUUUUCUUGUCUGAGUUUGUAUCCAGCUCUGAGAAUGCAGAGACUAAAACUCCAGCAGAAGAGGUACCACCCCCAAUGCCCCCUCGUAGGAGCAUCCCUAAACAGUUUGGUAAAGAAAAUGGGCACCCAACAGAGAAGAAACCAACAUUCGAUGAUGAAUCAUAUUUAUUUCAUGGACCAACUUCAGGAACUAAUCCUGUUUUACCACCAAGGAGGCCACAUUCAGAACCAGACAAGUCCUCCAGUAACUUCCCAGCAUCUUCAGUUGACUCUGAGCCAGUCCCUGUGCCACCGCCACGAACACCUGGCAGCCAAGGCAACAGGACGGCAGUAGCUUCUGAGAUUCCCAGCAAGCAAUCUAGAAUGAGACCUAUGCCUCAACCCCGAGUGAGGUCAGAUCCUAGUUUGCCAGCCAGGCCUCCCCCUUUGCCUGGCUGUGAUGAGAAAUCAGAGACACCCAUGCCCAGGCAUCGUUCAACUCCUGAAGUACCUCCACGCGUAAGCCCAUCCCAGAUGACUCCAGCAAUCCGUUCGUCUGAUCAUUUCCCGGCCCCAUUCACAGUUUCAAACAUUUAUGAUGAUGACCCCUGUCAAUGUGUUGAGCCACCCGAACCAGAGGCAUCCAAAUCGCUGUUCCCUCCACCUAUCCUUCCCAAUCCUGUCUCUCAGUUUUCUGCACAAGAUGAAAUCGAUGAACACUUUCCUGACUUGCCUCCUCCCCCGCCUCCUAAAAGGAUUCCUGGCUCAACGUCCCCAGCACCUGCGAAAAGAAGCCUACCACCUGUUCCACAUCCCAACCAUCACACUGUUCCAGAUCCCCCGUGCUCAGACCCACCACCAUCGCAACCACCUUGCCUGACAGAUAAUGUAGGUCCUAGUUUAUCAGCACUGCAGAUGCCCGGGGAUGGUCCUCUACAACCUUCUUUUCUGUCUCCACCACCAGUACUUCCUUUUCAGUCUGUGACUCCGAGAGAAAUUGAAGAAGACAACAUGCCCAGCCUCCCUCCUCCACCUCCUCCUUCGGUUGCACCAACACCGAGGAUUCCUCCCCGGCCCCCAUCGUUAGCGGAGCCACCUGUUUCUGACAUACCCCCUCCUCUGCUGCCACCAAAGGAUACAUCUGGACAUCUUCGUGCAGUUCAGCUGGUUGGCACAGAGGAAAUCAUUAUGCCAUUCUCUCCAGCGUUAUUGCCUGUUAUUCCUCCACGUCCAUGCCCACCAUCUGCUUCAGGUCAGAUACCUUCUGAUUUGUCACCAUCCCUACCAACACAGAAAGAGACAUCAAGACAUCUUGAUGCCACUUCGGCUUUCAAAAAAGACUCUGAAACUGUCUCUAACAUUUCAUCAAUUCCUGUGAUUCCUCCACGUCCACCUCCAUUAUCAGCACCAGAUCAGUUUCCCUCUAAUUUGCCACCACCUCCACCAACACUGGAAGAGAUGCAAGGACAUCCAGAUGUAACCCAGCCCAUCAAGACAGACACUGUUAAUAUCUUUGACUCUGCAAAGCAAAACUUUGACCCAUUUGAGUUUGAUCCAUUUGCACAUGCAGAUGACACAGUAGGUACAUUCUCUGUGGAUGCCCCACUCCGGCCUCCAUCACUCUUUCUCACACCUGAAGAUCUACUCAGAUAUCCUGCUCCACAAACCAACCUACCCCAACUCACAGCGGCUUUGCCUUCCGUAAGUGAACAUCCAGUUCCUUUACUUCCAUCAAGACCUGCUCCCGAUCUGUCAUUAGCAUCCAGACCAGUUCCUUUGCCUCCAGGAGCGAAACCUGACAGCAAGCCAUCAACCGCAGCAUCUGAUGUUAUUCCGCCGAUACCACCUGUCCGCCAGGACUAUACUCAUUCAGAGAAUCAGUCUCAAGCCUUACCAGAACUCAGUGGGAUUGAUGAGAUUUUAUCCCCGCAACCAGGGCAAGUGUCUCAAAGUGGCUUGAGGAAGACUCCAGCACUGCCAGCCAGAAUACCUGCUGGCUCGGAACAACAAGGCACCGGUGACAUAUUAACAAGACCAGACACAACUGGGGCUGAUCCAUCCAUGCCGGCUGGUCUCCCCCACAAGACAUCAAACUUAAUUGACCUGUCACUUCAUGAUACUGGCAUGAUCCAAUUCAAAAAUGUCCCAGAUGAAAACAAGGAGAACUUCUUGCUUGAUACUGACUCAAUUCAUGAGGCAACUCAAAGUACUCCUAGUCCAUCCUUACCUGCUCUCGAUCAACAUGACAUCGAGGAUCAGUACUCUAAAGUACAUCGCGUACCUCAGAAAACACAACAGCUUAUGGUUGACACAAAAGACAAACCGUCAAAUAUUCCCCAAAUCCCAGUCAGGCCACCUCGGAUUCCUCCAAGACUAGAGCCACAAGGAGAAGCUUCGCCUACCUUUGCAGCACCUGAGAGGCCAUCUCCAAUAGGAUCUACGGCCCAAGAUGAUGUCUUCAGUCAUUCCGGUUUUGAGGAGAAAGGAGUGACCUCCUGGUCAAGUUUACAAGUCCCUGUCUCCCCCUCAGCACUCAGUGAGGGUUCUGACAGACACUCGUACAUCUUACUGAGUGAGUCUUCCAGUGGCACUCACGAUACUUCAGAUGAGAAGAUAUGGCCUCAUGAGCAUCGAUCUCUGCCUCCUAUACCUCCUGUCAGCUCAAGCACACUGGAUAAGCCUAGUGAAAAAGACUCUCUUCAAAUGGAAGAUGAGUCUGGAGAGCCCCAGAAACCAGCCAGACCAGCACCUCCUCCACCAGUUGCAAAACCACGUGACAGGUCCUCAGCCCAUAUACCUAAACUACCAGCAAGACCAGUCCCUGCAGUGAAAGAGUUCAUCCCACAGCCGCCACCGAAUCAGAAAGAGGGUGAAUAUGACCUCUUGGAUGCAAGCAGAAUGGUCUCCACGAGUCCCCUGAGGGAUGAGUCGUUAGACAGUCCAGAGGGAAUCGCCUUCAAGGAGCUUGCUCAGAGUGAGGAGAGCGGAGAUGAUGAUGAUUCUGGCUUUGACAUGGACAGCUUGGAUUACAGCAAAGCAACUGCUAAACAGGUGCAAGAUUUAAACUUGAAAGUCAGCCUGGCAGACAGACGCAGUAAGAUUGACCUCGGUCAUGUUUUACGCAUGGGUCAGGCAUAUCGCCCAGAAGUACCUCACAGGCCUCUAGCCAGAACACAUAGCCGUUCAGUUGAUGAAAACACUAGAAGAAGACUUUCCAAUAAACUCUCACAAUCUCUGCAAGAUAGCCACAGCACAGCUGAGAUUCCUGCUAAGGUAACUGUUCUGAAGAAGAAAGGAUAUCUCUGGAAACAAGGAGGACAGCAGAACAACAAGGGGUUCAGGAAACGCUGGAUGGACUUUGAUGGAGUGGAGAUGAGGUACUAUGAAAAUGAGAAAAAGAUGUCAGAGUGUAAGGGCAUUAUUCCCGUGGGCACAAUGAGAGAUGUCAAGAAUCUGUGUGGAACAUCCAGACCAUCGUUUGGCGACACAAAACAGUACCGCAUUACACUAGAAACAACUGGACGGUCCUUCCACUUUGCAGCAGAAACUCUUGAUGAGGGUACAUUAUGGGCCAACAUAUUGAUGCAGGCUAUUCUGUCAUAUAAGCCUCCCCCUGGUGGAUUUCCUGUGGGAGGAGAUAUGAGUUGUCCUGACAAAAAGGGCUAUGUGAAAAUUGAGGGGUACUUCCAAAAAAGGUUUCUUGCAAUUAAAGGCGAGAAGUUGUUCAUAUACAACACUGAAAUGGACUUUGAGUCUGCUGUGGCCAUUUUGGACAUUGAGAUGAAGCUGGCAUCAGUCAAGGAGCUUCCCAAGAACAAGAUCCAGCUAGCUACUCCUGGCAAGAUAUACAUAAUGACUAUUGAGAAUCCCCAGGAGGUCAAGGAAUGGAUUGAAGCUAUGAAGGAGGCCAUACUGGAAGGACUCUCUGAUCAUUCAAUCUUGGAUAAGGUGUACCAGAACUCUUCCAAUACGUACUGUGCAGAAUGCAGAAUGAAAGAUCCAGAUUGGGCGUCUAUCAACUUGGGUAUUUGUGUCUGCAAAAACUGCUCCGGCCUGCACAGGAAUCUUGGUGUGCAUGUGUCCAAGGUCCGCUCAUUGAAAAUGGACACCAAAGUAUGGACACCGGCGUUGGUUCAAGUCAUGCUAAAGCUCGGCAACAAGAAUUCCAAUGCAUUCUGGGAAGCCAACCUGAAUGAGGAUGAGAAAGCUAUGCCCGACGAUACAUUAGACAGAAGGAAAAUGUAUAUUGUGAACAAGUACAGCAAGAAAAAAUACUGCCAAUCACGGCUGUCAACGGACAACAACAUGGAUAAGACUCUGUUCAAAGCGGCCUCCCUUGGAAAUCUCAUUGAAUGUGUACAGCUUGUCUUCUCUGGUGCAAAUGUUUCUCAUAAACGGGAGGAUGGAAAGACUGCGCUUGAUGUGGCAAAAGCAUGCAACUUCCCUACUGUUGCAGAAUUCCUGAACCAGAACAUUAACAUACAAUCGUCAUCUGCGAGGAACGACGCUGCAUCCAAAGUAUCUGCUCAGACUCAGAAGACCGCCUCCAUUGUGAGACACUCAGCUCAUGAGAGCAAGCAAGAAAACAUACAGUGCUCUGGCUACUUGCAUAAGACGGGCAAUAACAAGAAAGAAUUCCUGAAGCGAUAUUGUACCUUGGAGCAUGGCAUCUUCAGUUAUUUUGAAGACAAGAACCAACCAGCCAAAAACACAAUAGAGGGAAUCGACAUGGUACUGGUUGCUUUAACCGAGCCAAGACAAGGACACAAGUACUGUUUUGAGAUCUACACUUCCGUAGGUCGGACCUAUCUCAUGUCAGCAGAAACAGAAGAAGAGAGAAAACAGUGGAUGAAAGCGCUAGCCAAGAUUCACUCACUGGAAUGCAUGUGGGAGUCUCUUGAGGAUUUUGAGCAAGCUGGAUUCCUGCACAAGAAAGAAGGAGCUGCAGCAACCAACUGGCAGCGGUUAUGGUUCAUACUGAAGGGAAAAUCACUGGUAUCCUACUCGAGUACCAAUGAUGAAUUGGAGGAAAUUGAUCUGAGAAAACUCAUCUCACUCAGUCGUCAAGAUUCUGACAUUGCUAGUGCAACAGACCAUAACCACACACUCUCCAUAGUCCUCCCUGGAAAGAAUAUUUACUUACGUGCAGAGACUAAGCAGGCAGCUGACUGCUGGUAUGAAGCCAUCAACAAAGUAGCAUCGCAAGGUGGCAUGGCAUUGGAAGAUCAACCAUUGACUGCUGAUAAUGUACCGAUCAUUGUCAGUCAGUGCAUUGACUUCGUUGCAACCCAUGAAGGUGUCAUGACAGAAGGAAUCUAUCGUCUGAGUGGUACAAGCAGCGUCAUCCGUAAGAUAGUCACCUCCUUCAUGGAGGAUUCACGCACAGCCCGUCUCAAGGAAGAAUACUCGGUCCAUGAUGUGACCGGAGCACUCAAGAAGUUCUUCCGUGAGCUGCCGGAUCCUCUGCUGACAUCCAAGUUGUAUCAGAAGUGGACAGAAGUUGCUUCCUAUCAAGAUCAUUCCAUACGUCUUCAGUGGUAUCAGCAUCUUCUAAGUGAACUGCCGUUAGUCAACUUCCACACACUCAAGAUGCUGAUAGGCCAUCUCAAGAAUGUUUCAGAGCACAGCGAUUUCAACAAGAUGUACAUCCGUAAUCUCGCUGCAGUAUUUGGACCAACAUUGAUGGCAGCAUCUUGUGAUUCAUCCUACGUCCAUGCCGAACGUGAGAUAGCAGUCAUAGCGGACCUCCUGACCUACUACAACUGGCUCUACCAGGUGUCGGAAGAAGAAAUGGCCAAAGAAAGAGAGAAGGAACAGAAAUAUCAAGAAGGCGUUGCCAAGAUUAAAGCAGCCAGGGCAUCAGAGACAUUCUCUGAGGAGUUGAUAAUGAUGGAGAUCUACAUGGGCAAGAAAGAUCAGGGCAACAGUAUCAACAUCAAGAUCUCCUUGGAGCACACUGCCGAUCAAGUCAUCCGCAUGGCUCUAGAGCAACAGAGGAAGAUUAACGAUGGUUCAUGGGGGCUGUUUGAAAUCAUCGCUAAAGGAGAACUUGAACGUUGGAUUCAUGGAUACGAGACCGUCCUGCCCCAGGUCCUACAAUGGAGCAAAGAUAUGGCUCCAGAUAAUUACAUCUGUCUCAAACACAAUGAUCUCAUACUCAAGAUAGAACCGUUUAUGGAGCAAGCCACUUUGACGGACACGGUUAAAUACAGUGAAAGCAAGAAGUCAUUUAAGAAGUACACGUUUGAGCUGAUGAACAACAUGGUCACAUGCUACAAGGAAAAGAAUACAAGUGCAGCCAAUACUUGGAGGGUUGCUGACAUGAAGAUUUAUGUGGGAGUUGAGAAGAAACGAUCACCGCCAACAAAAUGGGGUAUCUCAUUCAAUCUGAACAACGAAGAAGGCAUUAGAGCAAUGUGUCUUAAUGACGAACCCUCAUAUCACUUCUGGUUAGCUGGUCUGCUCAAAUCUAAGUGCUGCUUCACUAGGUUAUGCACAUUCGACCACCUAAGUUAACAUCCUGUAUGCUAUGCUGACUGCUUAUAUGAUCAUCAUACAUUGGACAGUGGUUUUGUAAGCUGAAACUCAAAUGCUUAGCUGAAAGUAUGCUGCAUCUACCAUUGGUUGCACUCCUUGUUUACUCUCAAAUGCUCAUUCCCUGCCAAUGUUUUCUAGAUCUCUCCUGAUCACUUUCACCUGUCCUCUGAAUCCUUUUCCUGUACUAUUUCCUUAUGGCUACUAUUUCCUAACAUUUGUCCACCUUCAUCUUCAUUUUUUUCUUCACCGUUUUGUCCUUCUGCACUGAUGAUCUUAGAGAGAAGGUACUCGCAACUUGUCAACCAACUCUGUGGUUGACCCCUCAUCACUGACAUACUCACCUCAUGCCCUCUCCUUCAAGUCUG